GACGAACGCUGGCGGCGUGCUUAACACAUGCAAGUCGAACGGAAAGGCCCUGCUUGCAGGGUACUCGAGUGGCGAACGGGUGAGUAACACGUGGGUGAUCUGCCCUGCACUUCGGGAUAAGCCUGGGAAACUGGGUCUAAUACCGGAUAGGAGCCAUUUUUAGUGUGAUGGUUGGAAAGUUUUUUCGGUGUAGGAUGAGCUCGCGGCCUAUCAGCUUGUUGGUGGGGUAAUGGCCUACCAAGGCGGCGACGGGUAGCCGGCCUGAGAGGGUGGACGGCCACAGUGGGACUGAGAUACGGCCCAGACUCCUACGGGAGGCAGCAGUGGGGAAUAUUGCACAAUGGGCGCAAGCCUGAUGCAGCGACGCCGCGUGGGGGAUGACGGCCUUCGGGUUGUAAACUCCUUUCGCUAGGGACGAAGCUUUUGUGACGGUACCUAGAUAAGAAGCACCGGCUAACUACGUG
rnacentral:rRNA from 1 species